rnacentral:rRNA from 1 species
UACGGAGGGAGCUAGCGUUGUUCGGAAUUACUGGGCGUAAAGCGCGCGUAGGCGGCUUUGUAAGUUAGAGGUGAAAGCCUGGGGCUCAACUCCAGAAUUGCCUUUAAGACUGCAUCGCUUGAAUCAUGGAGAGGCGGGUGGAAUUCCGAGUGUAGAGGUGAAAUUCGUAGAUAUUCGGAAGAACACCAGUGGCGAAGGCGGCCCGCUGGACAUGUAUUGACGCUGAGGUGCGAAAGCGUGGGGAGCAAACAGG